rnacentral:lncRNA from 1 species
AGAUAUGGUUUUCCAGAUGCAUCAGUGUGCUUAUAAGUCGUACGGCCAGGCCGCAUCAGUGUGACUUUAAGUCGUACGGCUAGGCCGCAUCAGUGUGACUUUCCAAAUCAAUAAGCGUACAUCUGGAAAACAGUUCUCAGUGUGUGGGCGUCCCCACUUUACAUUUGGCACUAAGGCCCAAACAAUAUCACAUCUGCUCUCCUGUGGCAGACAUUUCAUUA